AUGAACGCUGGCGGCGUGCCUAAUACAUGCAAGUCGAGCGAACAGACGAGGAGCUUGCUCCUCUGACGUAGCGGCGGACGGGUGAGUAACACGUGGAUAACCUACCUAUAAGACUGGGAUAACUUCGGGAAACCGGAGCUAAUACCGGAUAACAUGUUGAACCGCAUGGUUCAACAGUGAAAGACGGUCUUGCUGUCACUUAUAGAUGGAUCCGCGCCGCAUUAGCUAGUUGGUAAGGUAACGGCUUACCAAGGCAACGAUGCGUAGCCGACCUGAGAGGGUGAUCGGCCACACUGGAACUGAGACACGGUCCAGACUCCUACGGGAGGCAGCAGUAGGGAAUCUUCCGCAAUGGGCGAAAGCCUGACGGAGCAACGCCGCGUGAGUGAAGAAGGUCUUCGGAUCGUAAAACUCUGUUAUUAGGGAAGAACAAAUGUGUAAGUAACUAUGCACGUCUUGACGGUACCUAAUCAGAAAGCCACGGCUAACUACGUGCCAGCAGCCGCGGUAAUACGUAGGUGGCAAGCGUUAUCCGGAAUUAUUGGGCGUAAAGCGCGCGUAGGCGGUUUUUUAAGUCUGAUGUGAAAGCCCACGGCUCAACCGUGGAGGGUCAUUGGAAACUGGAAAACUUGAGUGCAGAAGAGGAAAGUGGAAUUCCAUGUGUAGCGGUGAAAUGCGCAGAGAUAUGGAGGAACACCAGUGGCGAAGGCGACUUUCUGGUCUGUAACUGACGCUGAUGUGCGAAAGCGUGGGGAUCAAACAGGAUUAGAUACCCUGGUAGUCCACGCCGUAAACGAUGAGUGCUAAGUGUUAGGGGGUUUCCGCCCCUUAGUGCUGCAGCUAACGCAUUAAGCACUCCGCCUGGAGACACCGAGGUGG
rnacentral:rRNA from 2 species